GAUGAACGCUAGCGGCAGGCUUAAUACAUGCAAGUCGAGGGGCAGCAUGAGUGUAGCGAUACAUUUGAUGGCGACCGGCAAACGGGUGCGGAACACGUACACAACCUUCCUAUAAGUGGGGAAUAGCCCAGAGAAAUUUGGAUUAAUACCCCGUAACAUAAUGAUGUGGCAUCACAUUAUUAUUAUAGCUUCGGCGCUUAUUGAUGGGUGUGCGGCUGAUUAGAUAGUUGGCGGGGUAACGGCCCACCAAGUCUACGAUCAGUAGCUGAUGUGAAAGCAUGAUCAGCCACACGGGCACUGAGACACGAGCCCGACUCCUACGGGAGGCAGCAGUAAGGAAUACUGGUCAAUGGACGCAAGUCUGAGCCAGCCAUGCCGCGUGAAGGAUUAAGGUCCUCUGGAUUGUAAACUUCUUUUAUCUGGGACGAAAAAAGGCUAUUCUUAGUCACUUGACGGUACCAGAUGAAUAAGCACCGGCUAACUCUGUGCCAGCAGCCGCGGUAAUAC
rnacentral:rRNA from 1 species